rnacentral:rRNA from 1 species
CUCGAGGCCAGAUCUUUCCGGUUGAUCCUGCCGGACCCGACCGCUAUCGGGGUGGGACUAAGCCAUGGGAGUCGUGCGCCCCCGGACGCGGGGGCGCGGCGGACGGCUGAGUAACACGUGGCCAACCUACCCUCGGGACGGGGAUAACCCCGGGAAACUGGGGCUAAUCCCCGAUAGGCGAGGGGGCCUGGAACGGUCCCUCGCCGAAAGGGUGUGCGGAGCUUCCCCGCACACCGCCCGAGGAUGGGGCUGCGGCCCAUCAGGUAGUUGGCGGGGUAACGGCCCGCCAAGCCGAUAACGGGUAGGGGCCGUGGGAGCGGGAGCCCCCAGAUGGGCACUGAGACAAGGGCCCAGGCCCUACGGGGCGCACCAGGCGCGAAACCUCCGCAAUGCGGGCAACCGUGACGGGGUCACCCCGAGUGCCGCCGAUAAGGCGGCUGUUCCCCGCUGUAGGAAGGCGGGGGAGUAAGCGGGGGGCAAGUCUGGUGUCAGCCGCCGCGGUAAUACCAGCCCCGCGAGCGGUCGGGACUCUUACUGGGCCUAAAGCGCCCGUAGCCGGCCCGGCAAGUCCCCCCCUAAA